rnacentral:rRNA from 1 species
GACGAACCGUGCGAACGUUAUUCGGAAUCACUGGGCUUAAAGCGCGUGUAGGCGGAUGGGAACGUCGGUAGUUGAAAGCCCCCGGCUCAACCGGGGAAGUGGUGCCGAAACGACCCGUCUGGAGGGACGUAGGGGGACCUGGAACUUCCGGUGGAGCGGUGAAAUGCGUUGAGAUCGGAAGGAACGCCCGUGGCGAAAGCGAGGUCCUGGACGUCUACUGACGCUGAGGUGCGAAAGCCAGGGGAGCGAACGGG